UUCAGCGUAGACUACGUAUUUGUCAGAUGGAAAUUAUUAAUGUGAAAUAUUACAUUAAUAAAAUUAGCCAAUACUUUCUAAGAAGUCACAAUUAUUGCUUUUAAAAGUAAUAUUUGUAUAACUUUUAUCGUCUAUAUUUUAAUAUGGAAAAUGAGUCAAAGUAAUGAUAAAUGUUUAUGACAAUUGCUAGUUUAUUUCUCCACAGUGUGAGCUUUCAAUAUGAUAGUAGGAAUUACCAAAAAUUUUCAUCUUGGAUUUUGUCCUUUAGAAGUAUUAUAAAGGUAAUUAACUAUGUUCUUUUCAGAAAGUACAGUAACAUCUCAGUCAACCUGUUAAUGCUUAGGGAGUGGUAUCAUUAAAAGGAUUGAUCUUGUACAUCAUUGACCAUAUUUAGAUACCUACAAGUAAACUAUUUAUUGAAAAGGUUAAGUCUAGUCAGUACCUAACACCAAGAAUUGAUAUGUCAUUUAUUAAUUUCAAAACCAUGGAGUGAUUUAUUUUUCAGGAGUUAGGAAUACAAAAUUAGUAAGUCAUCAUAAUUAUCCUCAGAAUUUACAGAAAAUUCCAGGAGGCAAUAAUAGAUUUAUAAGUAGUAAUGAUAAGCAUCGAAACCAACUUCCAGAAACACUAUUGGAAGUUUGAAAGGUGUUUUGGCUCUUAAUAAAAUACUUGGUUUCUAAUCAGAAUACAUGACUAAUAUGUAUGAUUUAGAUUACUUCUAGAGAGCAAGAGUUUGUAAAAUAUAUAUCAUGAAUUUUUUCACUAAAGUUUAGUGUCCAUUGGAAGGAGGGAGAUAGAUAUUAAGUAACAAUUUUAAUAAUUUUUACCUAUGCAGUUCAAAUUUUAAUUAAAGAAAAUAAAGUUGGAUGAACUGUAUGAAUCUGAAAAAUCAAAUGUGAAGGUUGGAGUUCUUAUUCUCCAAAGAUUUCCCACAUAUUUUUCUGGAUAUUUAUCAGCAGAGGGUGUAGAGGUUUGCAUGUAUUGGAGCACUCAGACUUGAAGAAGGACAUAGGGGCAGUUGAAAUGUCAGUGAAGCUGUGAUUAAGUGUAUUAUAGUAGAGGACUUGAAAUGCCUACAUUAGAAGUGUUUAGAAGUAUAGGAGUCAACUGACCUUGAAGCUGCUAAAAUAGAUAAUGAUUAUUGCAAAGUACACAUUUUUAAAUGGUCUCCAGUGUGGACUGCUGAGCCCAGUGAUGGAGUGAGUACAUUGAGGAAGAAUGUGUUAUUUGGAAUCCAGCAUCAUUCAGCAAGGAUAACUGCCUGAUGAUAUGAUUUCGUGACUGAUGCUGAAAUGGAAGCCAACCAAUGCAGAAAUUUUGGGGAAAAUGAAUCUGAAGAAUGCAAGGGGAAGUAGGAAUUCAUUUCUAGCAUUCCUAAACCUGCUUUGUCGUGUCAACUCACUACAGUCAGAGGAAAAGAACUGAGUUCAUGGAAAGUACCAGCUAAGCCUUACAUCUGUCUUUAAUGUUUUUAGGAAAUUUCAGGUAAGUGAGAUGUCUGUUUUGAAGAAGACUCUUAGGUAUAUUAAAACCAGUUGUUCAUUUUGGUAAAGAUGGACAGUAUUGUUAUUCUGAGCUUCAAAAGUCUUGCCCUCAUUAGGUGUGGUUCUCAGUAUU